GAUGAAGAACGCAGCAAAAUGCGAUAAGUAAUGUGAAUUGCAGAAUUCAGUGAAUCAUCGAAUCUUUGAACGCACAUUGCGCCCGCUGGUAUUCCGGCGGGCAUGCCUGUUCGAGCGUCAUUUCAACCCUCAAGCCCCCGGGUUUGGUGUUGGGGAUCGGCUCUGCCCUUCUGGGCGGUGCCGCCCCCGAAAUACAUUGGCGGUCUCGCUGCAGCCUCCAUUGCGUAGUAGCUAACACCUCGCAACUGGAACGCGGCGCGGCCAUGCCGUAAAACCCCAUCUUCUGAAUGUUGACCUCGGAUCAGGUAGGAAUACCCGCUGAACUUAAGCAUAUCAACGGAGGA
rnacentral:misc_RNA from 1 species